rnacentral:lncRNA from 1 species
AGAACGACACAGAGUGUAUAGCCAACUCUGAUUCCAAGUUCUUGACCGUUGGAAAGAAACUAAGAUGGAAAUGGCCAGAGGCCGUGUUACCCUCCGCUUCCUCUCUAGCUCAGGGUGGGGCUCACUGGACAAGACUGGUUAUGAGAGGGUUACUAGGGCCCGAUGUCAGAGGAAUGGAGGAACAAGGAGGUCUGAGGUCUUCCGCAGGAUAGAAACAGACAUGGUCCUGUUGAGGAGCGAGGACAAGGCAGUCCCCAAUCAGGUACCAAGACACGUGUUGAGGACAGACGUGUCUGGAGGCAAGGACAUUACCAAGGUGGUGGAGAUGGGCCAGACAAGAAGCGAAGCGUGAGUGAGAGCUGCUAUUUCGUGGGUCCAGUCACGUGUCGGGCAUUGUGGGGAGUACUUGCAUGAGCCCAGAGCCAGCCCAGAAACUGGGUGAGGUAGGCUGAGUAACAGCCCUCAGCGGUGCCCACGUCCUAAUCCCUGAGAUCUAUAAAUACGUUACUUAAUAUGGCAAAGGGAACUUCACCAACGUGAGGACUGAGGGGCCUCAAACUUGGCAGAGAGCCUGGAUUAUCCCAGUGGCCUUAACCAAUGUGUUUACAAGAGUCCUUUUAAGGAGGAUACAGUAGUGUUGCAUCCAGAUGUUGUGCUCUUGGCUUUGAACACGGAAGAUGGAAACCAAAGCAGAAACCUGAAGAAGGCGAGAAACAGAUUCCCCCCCUAGAGCCUCUGGAAGAAAGGCAGCCCUUUCAACACCCUGAUUUAGACUCCUUUGGACUACUGACUUCUGGAAUUGUAAGAGAAUAAACCUCUGGGGUCUUUUAAUCUAUAAAGUUUGUGGCAACUUGUUGUGUACAGCAGUGGAACUAAUUACAGAUGGUAGCGAUUCUUACUGUUGUGCUCCGAGCAGGAAGGUCUUUGGGGACCACCGUGGUUUUAUGUCCAUCCCACACACAGCUAUGGUACAAGACCCCCUUUGACAACUUGACUUUACUGGGUAGAGACGUGCUGACCAACCUCAAGAUGUAACCUCAGGUGGAGACUUGCUACGGCUACCAUCCCCAGCCACUCCUGUGGGACCAGCUCUGAAAAACCUCUCCGACGGGGGCACCAUCUCAAAGGCAAAUAAGUGCCAAGGCUGCAUAUGUGAGGAGAAAUCUCUCGAGUGACUCAUUGUCCAGAGACAGAGAUCAAAGGGCAGGUUGGACUGGGAGCUAUUGUGUGCAUUGAACAUCCAGCCUCACUGAUUCCAUGCCAGGGCUGAGUAUUAAUAGUCCAUCUCUAACAGAACCACCUAGGCUGUUCCAGGAAGAGUGUGCAACUAAGCCAGAGUCCUGGCGGUUAGAUUCAUGACCCUCCUCCACCAGUGAGCUUUAGUCAGGGGCCACUGCUCAUAAUCUGUGAUCACACACACCCCUGGCUAGGACACCACAUGUGGCAAGACAAGUGGAAAAGUGUUGUGGGCUGGUUUAAAAAAAAAAAAAAAGUUUGUGGUUCAAAACAAUUUAUUACAAGGAGGUCAGAAGCAUUCCUACUUCCUAGCUCAUCUGGGUGCAGCUGGCUUGGGUGAGUGGUGUUAAGUGCCAAGGAGGCCAAGGCCUAAGCUUAUCGUCAGGGACAGGUGGAAAUUUCCCAUCCCGUGCUAGGCCCAGACUCUGCAGUUAGGGUUUUGUGGACCAGAUGGGUGCGGGGGUGGAAGGCUGGGCACAGACCUUGGGUGCACCUGUGCCUUUUCAGCACCAGCAAUGCCUGGGAGGCAAGGAGAGUGUGUGUCUGUUUUGGGCUCUAGGGUUAGGUUCCAUCCCCAGGGUUAUGGGAGGGCACACAGAGAGACACCAUGUUCAUCUUGCAAAUCCCACCCCUGUUCUGUGAUGAUUAUAAAAGCAUCUAGGAGGCUUCCUUGAGUGAAAGUAAAGAUUGGGCAGCGAUAGAGGAAGAAGGUUUUCCUUAGCAGAGUAAGUGCUUUCCUAAAAGCCUGUGGCUCAGUGGACAGGCUCUGUUCAGCUGUCAGACACAUGGGCGGGUGCCCGCAGUAGCCCAGCCUGUCUGCCCCGACGGUGGCCUGAGGCCUGCCAUUGUUCUGCUCCCAAACCCGCUCCUGCCAGGGGUACCUAUUCCCUAAUUGCAUGCAAACUGUCACAUAAACUGUGAAGACUGGGAGCAAAAAAUAAAAUAAAAUAAAAUAAAUAUAAUGUCCACAAAAUCCAAGUUAAAUUUGUAGAAGAAUCUGAUUAAGUCUCUAAAACUCUUGCUAUUGAAUUGGGUGUGGAUGAGUCAAGGCUGAGCAGGAAGAUAAAAGGGUAAAAGUAGAGGAUUGUACUUUGUAUUCUUUGCAAGUGCUCCCUGCACUGUAAGUAAACCAAAAGAGGAAUGAGAUGAUCCAUAAAGGCUGAGUUUACUCUAGAAAAACUGCAAGGGGUGACAAUGAAAUGGCCUUGGCCCUAUACCCCAAAUAGGUGAUACAUUUACAUUUAUUGCUUUUAAUUUAAAUUGAAGCAUUGUGAGGUAUGGGCAUAACCUCCCUUCCCCAGACACAGAAGCCAAGGAGUGAAGCGGACAUUCACCUGAAGUGACCAAUCCCCAAACAGCAGCGGAUUGCUGAGUGGGCUGCUUUCCUCAUGAAGUACGUACACACACGGAUCUCUAAAUGCCAAGGUAAGGGCUGGCCUCUCAUCUCCUAGGGGCAGUGGUCUCAGGACUUGCUAAGACCCAUCUCAGUGUAAGGAGCAGCCUCUUAAGGGAGGAAGGAGCUAGUCUAGGAGACCCUGGAUAUCAGCGUCACCCAGCACCUCUCACCACCCCGCACUGUGGGUCAUGAGGCUGUGCCACAUGCUAUGUGGGGGGCAAAGCCAGAAGAAAGACGGCACCAGAUAGGAAAGUGAGGGAACACAAACUGUGGUCUGCAAUCUCUCCCUAUAAUUUAGUAAACAGAACAGAACAAAACAAAGCAAAACACUUGGCUCUUUCUGCAGCUCUAUCACUGAUUUCUUUUCAAAACUUAGCUACGUUGACCACCACAGCUAUUACUGGAUUUCACCACAAGAGAGCGAUAGGGUUUCUAAAACGAGAGAUUCUUGCACACCAAGAAAUCAAAUCCCUCAGGGCUGGAAGAGGUCUUAAAUAUCACUAUCACUUGGUUCGCCGGUUUUCAAAAUCUUUUUGGCUAAAACCCACAGCAAGAACUGCAUUCUUCAUAGCGAACUAGUUCAUAAAUAUAUAUUUGAAAUGCAUUUUAGGUACAAUUUACUCUUACAUUUGCAAAGCAUUCUAAUAGUUUGUAUUCCAACAAAUUUUGUUAAAAAUAAACGAACAGGGACGCCUGGGUGGCUCAGUUGGUUAAGCAGCUGCCUUCGGCUCAGGUCAUGAUCCCAGCGUCCUGGGAUCGAGUCCCACAUCGGGNN